rnacentral:piRNA from 1 species
AGAAAAAAGGACAGCUUGGAAAC